UAACAAACCCCCUCCCUUCUCCUCUCUUAAUUCUUCUCCAUCCUCAAUAUUCAUAUGAGGAAGUCCUCUCAGUUGAGGGGAAUGUUGUCUGGCUCGAGGUCACCAACUAGAUCCAUGACCCAUCCAUUUUAUGCCUUUCAAAAAGAUUAGUUGAUUUUAAUAUGAAAAAGGGGUUAUGGAUCAUGUGUUAGUGUUGUCGGACCAGGCUUCAUUCCCCCCAAUUGUUGCUUCCUCCAAGGUUGUGGGAUUUGGUCAUUAUAAGGUAAUGUUGAUGGACAAGAGCAGAUUGGUGUAAUGAUGAAGUUUUUUGACUCCUUCCACUUUUCUGCCACGGUAAAAAUCUGAUGCUGCUUUUAUUUUAACUUUGUCAUUUAAUUUAUGCUUGUGUCAGUUUCUCUCUGCUUUGAGUUAGUGUUAUAUCAUUAGCCUCAUUUUACUCAUGAUGACUUCUUGAAUCUCUUCUGUCCGUUUCCUCAUCUUCUUUUUGAAUGACUUUGUAAGUAUCAUCAUUACUCAUCAUUUCUUAGUUUAGGGUUUUACUUCCUCCUACCCACAUGUGAUGUAAGCUUACACAUUCAUUUCAGUUUAUCAAAUGAGAUUUAUCACACUUCUAUAUUUGGCUCAUCAUGUGAUUUGUUGUUUCCUUUUCUCUCUUAUAUAUCUGCUUUUUUCUUGGUGACAGGCAUCAGGCAUGGGAAUUAAUAAUCUUUAAAUCUAAAAUAUCGUAACUUAUAUUGUGGACAAGGUCUUGUGAGAUCAUCAUACAUAGAUCUAUGCUAAUAAAAUUUCUUCACAUGAAGAAGAAGUCAUUCCUCAUUUCUGUUUCACUUUUUGGGUUAAAACUAUAGAAAGUGUGCAGGAAUAUUUUCAUUCUAAGCUUUGGUAAAGCUGGCUUAAAAUUUCUUUUCUGCUGAAGAAUGAUCAGAGAUUAAUUUUUCAAAGAUCUAUACUCUUGACCACGGAGUACGUUUGAUUUUGAAGCAACUCACUUGCAGCACUUGUUGUUUACCAUAUUGUUUAAGUUAUGUAUACCCUCAUUCUAAAGAAUUUUGUAACACUAUCAGGUUACUCAAACGAUAAUUGCUAUUAGUAAAUUCUCUAAAAUGUGAAAUUGAUAAUCUUGAAAAUAUGACAAGUUACUAUAACAUGUCAAGGUGAAAUGAUAGAGUACGUUCUUUUUAACUUACGAUGUAUAUAACUUAAUAAUUUCUCAAUCAACUUGUUAGGGAAUCAUUGUUUACCAUAUACAUUACAAACCGUGAAGUUCAUCAAAUAGAGUGAUUUUCUAAAAAUGGUGUCAAUAAUAUUGUACUGUCAAUAUCAACAAAGAAACUAAUGAGCUGUGAUGGUAGAAAUUACAUAAUGGAUCUGGGGAUGAACUGGCAUGGAUGCAACAAUGCAUAUGCACUUUGGAAAUUGAAGCUGAAUCCUGUCGUCGCUUUGGCUCUAUUACAUUCUUGUGAUCUGCUCCUAUUGUUUGAUGGGAUGUCUUUGUACUAUGUUCAAACAUUCAGUAUAAAAAAAGAAAAGGAAAACUUUCUUCUUUUUUUUUGUUGAAAGAUUUGAAAAUUUGAGUUUUGAAAUGCUCGCGAAAUGAAAUAACUUUUGCAAAAACAGUUCAAUUACAACACCUUUUUAAACAAAUCAGAAAAAUGAGUUUACAAACAAUUAAAACAGCCAUCUUAAAUUCUUUUUGAGAUAUUGUGGUGUGUAGAAUGACUUUAUAACUUCUAUGCAUGUAACUAUUGAAAAACAUAGAUGUGCCGAAUGAAUUCGCUGGAAGCCAUUCCACUGCUGCACCUAUGUAUAUUGCUUUGAUGUUAAAGGGCCUCUAGAGAGUUCCUUUUCUUUCACUUCAGCAAUGAAUCUGCUUGUACUUUAUCAUUGUUACGUUGGAAAAAACAUUAGGGUUUAUGUAUCACAUGAUGCAAAAAGGAUGACUUCUCAAUGCUUGGUUUUUUUAUAUAUGGAUUUCAUAUUAUAUAUAUCAAGCACACAAAUUUUUGCAUCGUCCA